rnacentral:rRNA from 1 species
UACGAAGGGGGCUAGCGUUGUUCGGAAUCACUGGGCGUAAAGCGCACGUAGGCGGAUCUUUAAGUCAGGGGUGAAAUCCCGAGGCUCAACCUCGGAACUGCCUUCGAUACUGAGAGUCUCGAGUCCGGGAGAGGUGAGUGGAACUGCGAGUGUAGAGGUGAAAUUCGUAGAUAUUCGCAAGAACACCAGUGGCGAAGGCGGCUCACUGGCCCGGUACUGACGCUGAGGUGCGAAAGCGUGGGGAGCAAACAGG